rnacentral:rRNA from 1 species
UCCAGACUCCUACGGGAGGCAGCAGUGAGGAAUAUUGGUCAAUGGGCGGGAGCCUGAACCAGCCAAGUCGCGUGAGGGAAGACGGUCCUAUGGAUUGUAAACCUCUUUAGGCGGGGAGCAAUGCCGGGCACGCGUGCCCGGAGGGAGAGUACCCGCAGAAUAAGCAUCGGCUAACUCCGUGCCAGCAGCCGCGGUAAUACGGAGGAUGCGAGCGUUAUCCGGAUUUAUUGGGUUUAAAGGGUGCGCAGGCGGAUUUUUAAGUCAGGGGUCAAAUCGUGGGGCUCAACCCCAUCCAGCCGUUGAAACUGGGGAUCUAGAGUGUGCGAGAGGUAUGCGGAAUGCGUGGUGUAGCGGUGAAAUGCAUAGAUAUCACGCAGAACCCCGAUUGCGAAGGCAGCAUACCGGUGCACAACUGACGCUCAGGCACGAAAGCGUGGGUAUCGAACAGGAUUAGAUACCCCAGAAA